ACGGAGGGUCCGAGCGUUAAUCGGAAUUACUGGGCGUAAAGCGUACGUAGGCGGUUAUUUAAGCGAGAUGUGAAAUCCCGGGGCUCAACCUCGGAACUGCAUUUCGAACUGGAUAACUAGAGUAUUGUAGAGGGUGGUGGAAUUUCCAGUGUAGCGGUGAAAUGCGUAGAGAUUGGAAGGAACAUCAGUGGCGAAGGCGGCCACCUGGACAAAUACUGACGCUGAGGUACGAAAGCGUGGGGAGCAAACAGG
rnacentral:rRNA from 1 species